rnacentral:misc_RNA from 1 species
GAUGAAGAACGUAGCGAAAUGCGAUAAGUAAUGUGAAUUGCAGAAUUCAGUGAAUCAUCGAAUCUUUGAACGCACAUUGCGCCCCUUGGUAUUCCGAGGGGCAUGCCUGUUCGAGCGUCAUUAUAACCCUCAAGCUCAGCUUGGUGUUGGGGCCUGCUGCACUGGCAGCCCUUAAAAUCAGUGGCGGCGCCAUCUGGCUCUAAGCGUAGUAAUUCUUCUCGCUAUGGAGUCCUGGUGGAUGCUUGCCAUCAACCCCCAAUUUUUCUAUGGUUGACCUCGGAUCAGGUAGGGAUACCCGCUGAACUUAAGCAUAUCAAUAAGAGGAGGA